rnacentral:lncRNA from 7 species
AUCAAAGGCUCAAUUCUCCAAUUUGAAGUGUGUAAAUGAUGUCCCAUCAUGGUUCUCCUUCAAACUAGCUGUUCUCUCAUCUCAUGGCUUGUAGCAUGACUCUGCUGUUAGUGCAUGCCCCUGAGUGUUGAAGAUUUUGCACAGAAGAAAUGAGAAGGCAAAGAAAUCAUCUCCUUUGGGAGGACAUUUUCAGGGCAACAGAAGGAAGACACUGCAUAUAUUUAAAUUGGGAAGGGAACUGGGAGGAAGGAUCAUUAUUUUCACUCUAAAAAAAACUUCCAAAUCUUUGGUAGGAGAGAUGUAUGAUGUGGCUAAACUGAGACUAGAAAUCAUCUGAUAUUUACACAGGGAGUUUUGUAUUGUUCAUUAUUUCUACUAAAAUGCCUCCAAAAGUGGUUAGAAUCAAACUGCUGUUUGGGAAAGUUCUGCAAACAAUAGAUAUAUGCUCUUUGAGAUCAAGCCCAUUAUAUGCUUUUCUCUUUCAAUUUGUUUCCUUUUUGCUUUGUAUUUCUGUUUACUUCUUUGUUUCUGCAUUUUGAUUUCUCAUAUUGCAACUUGUAUCUGAGCCUUCCAAACAUCUUCCAUAAGAUUUCAAGAGAGUGACUCUUAAAUUUUCUUUCUCUAAAUGACAAAAACUCUCAAAUUUCAUUUUCAAAUCAUAAACAUUUGAGAACCUUUUUAUUUUCAAAAUAUAGAACCUAUUCUUCCUAAUGAUGUGUGAUAAUAGCGAAAAUCAACCAAAAUUGUGCAUUUACUUAUAACCAUCAUGACUCUAAAUAGGCACAUUUUGUGUUCAUUGCUUGCUACUAGUUGAGGAAAACUAUUUUGGAUUCUCCUAAAUCGCGUAAUUACAGAAUUUGCUACAUCUGCAUUGUUAAACUUUAAAGAAGUAUAUUGUCUCAUGUUUCAAAUGUUUUUCUUUCUUCCAUGAGCCUCUGCAUGGAAAGUAUAGAAGUAUGAACUCCAGGAAUUUUUACAAUGAGAAAGGAAGGAUGGGUUUCCAAUAAAGGAAUACAAGAGACUUAUUGCCUGCCUCAGCAAGG